CGGCAAAGCCGCGCUAUCGGCUUUUUGGAAACAAAAGGCAGGAAAGUCCGGACAGCAUAGGGCAACGCACCACCUAACGGGUGGGGCUUUUCGCUUCGGUGAAGAGAACAGACAGUGCCACAGAAAAUAACCGCCUUCCGGGGUAAGGGUGAAAAUGUGGGGUAAGAGCCCACGGCAGAACCGGGUAACCUGUUCUGCGGGUAAACCUUGCGUGCUGAAAUGCCAUGUAAACGGUCGUUUGAGGGCUGCCCGCCCGAUGACCGAGGGUAGGCAGAUACAGGUAUUCAGUGAUGAAUGCCGCAGAUAAAUGAUAGCGGUUCCGUUGCAGAACGGGAUACAGAAUCCGGCUUAUAAGCUUUGCCGGGUG
rnacentral:RNase_P_RNA from 1 species